rnacentral:rRNA from 1 species
UACGGGGGGGGCAAGCGUUGUUCGGAAUUACUGGGCGUAAAGGGUUCGUAGGUGGCUUUCUAAGUCAGACGUGAAAUCCCUCAGCUUAACUGGGGAACUGCGUCUGAAACUGGCGAGCUUGAGUGCAGGAGAGGAACGCGGAAUUCCAGGUGUAGCGGUGAAAUGCGUAGAUAUCUGGAGGAACACCGGUGGCGAAGGCGGCGUUCUGGACUGUUACUGACACUGAGGAACGAAAGCCAGGGGAGCAAACGGG